rnacentral:rRNA from 1 species
UACGGAGGGUGCGAACGUUAAUCGGAAUCACUGGGCGUAAAGCGCGCGUAGGCGGUUUGUUAAGUGGGAUGUGAAAUCCCCGGGCUUAACCUGGGAAUUGCAUUUCAAACUGGCCGACUAGAGUACGGUAGAGGGAGGUAGAAUUUCCUGUGUAGCGGUGAAAUGCGUAGAUAUAGGAAGGAAUACCAGUGGCGAAGGCGGCCUCCUGGAUCGAUACUGACGCUGAGGCGCGAAAGCGUGGGGAGCGAACAGG